rnacentral:rRNA from 1 species
UACGGAGGGGGCUAUCGUUGUUCGGAAUUACUGGGCGUAAAGCGCGCGUAGGCGGAUCUGUAAGUUGGGGGUGAAAUCCCGAGGCUCAACCUCGGAACUGCCUUCGAUACUGCAGAUCUCGAGUCCGAGAGAGGUGAGUGGAAUUCCUAGUGUAGAGGUGAAAUUCGUAGAUAUUAGGAAGAACACCAGUGGCGAAGGCGGCUCACUGGCUCGGUACUGACGCUGAGGCGCGAAAGCGUGGGGAGCAAACAGG